CCCUUAGAUGUCCGGGGCUGCACGCGCGCUACACUGAAUGAAUCAGCGUGCUAGAAAACCUUGUUUGACAUGGCUAGGUAACCCAUUGAAAAUCAUUCGUGAUUGGGAUCGGGACUUGCAAAUGUGUCCCUUGAACGAGGAAUUCCCAGUAAGUGCGGGUCAUCAGCUCGCGUUGAUUACGUCCCUGCCCUUUGUACACACCGCCCGUCGCUGCCCGGAACUGAGCCGUUUCGAGAAGACGGAGGAUUGCUGACUUGAGGCCUUCACGGGCUUCUAGUCGGUGAAAAUCAAUUUAAUCGCAGCGGCUUGAACCGGGCAAAAGUCGUAACA
rnacentral:rRNA from 1 species